AUCGAACGCUGGCGGCAGGCCUAACACAUGCAAGUCGAGCGAGCGGCGGACGGGUGAGUAAUGUCUGGGAAACUGCCUGAUGGCGGGGGAUAACUACUGGAAACGGUAGCUAAUACCGCAUACCAUCAGAUGUGCCCAGAUGGGAUUAGCUAGUAGGUGGGGUAACGGCUAACCUAGGCGACGAUCCCUAGCUGGUCUGAGAGGAUGACCAGCCACACUGGAACUGAGACACGGACCAGACUCCUACGGGAGGCAGCAGUGGGGAAUAUUGCACAAUGGGCGCAAGCCUGAUGCAGCCAUGCCGCGUGUCUGAAGAAGGCCUUCGGGUUGUAAAGUACUUUCAACGGGGACGCGUUACCCGCAAAAGAAGGACCGGCUAACUCCGUGCCAGCAGCCGCGGUAAUUC
rnacentral:rRNA from 1 species